UAACCUACCCCUGGUGUCUGGGAUAACAUCUCGAAAGGGGUGCUAAUACCGGAUAAGCCCACGGGAUCUUCGGAUUCUGCGGGAAAAGGUGGCCUCUAUUUAUAAGCUACCGUAUCAGGAUGGGUCCGCGUACCAUUAGCUAGUUGGUGGGGUAAUGGCCUACCAAGGCUACGAUGGUUAGCUGGUCUGAGAGGAUGAUCAGCCACACUGGAACUGAGACACGGUCCAG
rnacentral:rRNA from 1 species